rnacentral:rRNA from 1 species
UAUCCGCCAGAGAACUACGAGCAUAACGCUUAAAACUCUAAGGACUUGGCGGUGCCUUAAACCCCCCUAGAGGAGCCUGUUCUAUAAUCGAUAAUCCACGAUCCACCUCACCAUCUCUUGCCAGUACCGCCUAUAUACCGCCGUCACUAGCCUACCCUAUGAAGGAUAUAAAAGUAAGCAAAACAGCCAACAAUAGCUAAUAAGUCAGGUCAAGGUGUAGCUAACUGAGAUGGAAGAAAUGGGCUACAUUUUCUAAACUAGAAAUUAUCUCACGGAAAGAACCAUGAAACAAGUUCUACAAGCAGGAUUUAGCAGUAAACAAGGAUUAGAAUGCCCAAUUUAAGCCGGUCCUAAGGCACGCACACACCGCCCGUCACCCUCCUCAAAUCAACAUCACCUAUAAAUAAAACCACAACAAACAAACAGAUGAGGCAAGUCGUAACAAGGUAAGUAUACCGGAAGGUGUACUUGGAACAUU